rnacentral:tRNA from 1 species
GAGGGUAUAGCUCAAGUGGUAGAGUGCAUGCAUCUUGGGUUCGAUCCCCAGUACCUCCU